AUUGAACGCUGGCGGCAGGCCUAACACAUGCAAGUCGAGCGGAUGACGGGAGCUUGCUCCUUGAUUCAGCGGCGGACGGGUGAGUAAUGCCUAGGAAUCUGCCUGGUAGUGGGGGACAACGUUUCGAAAGGAACGCUAAUACCGCAUACGUCCUACGGGAGAAAGCAGGGGACCUUCGGGCCUUGCGCUAUCAGAUGAGCCUAGGUCGGAUUAGCUAGUUGGUGGGGUAAUGGCUCACCAAGGCGACGAUCCGUAACUGGUCUGAGAGGAUGAUCAGUACCACUGGAACUGAGACACGGACCAGACGCCUACAGGAGGCAGCAGUGGGGAAUAUUGGACAAUGGGCGAAAGCCUGUUCCAGCCAUGCCGCGUGUGUGAAGAAGGUCUUCGGAUUGUAAAGCACUUUAAGUUGGGAGGAAGGGCAGUAAGCUAAUACCUUGCUGUUUUGACGUUACCGACAGAAUAAGCACCGGCUAACUCUGUGCCAGCCGCCGGCGUAA
rnacentral:rRNA from 1 species